GUGGGGAAUAUUGGACAAUGGGGGGAACCCUGAUCCAGCCAUGCCGCGUGUGUGAAGAAGGCCUUUUGGUUGUAAAGCACUUUAAGCGAGGAGGAGGCUACCGAGAUUAAUACUCUUGGAUAGUGGACGUUACUCGCAGAAUAAGCACCGGCUAACUCUGUGCCAGCAGCCGCGGUAAUACAGAGGGUGCAAGCGUUAAUCGGAUUUACUGGGCGUAAAGCGCGCGUAGGUGGCCAAUUUAGUCAAAUGUGAAAUCCCCGAGCUUAACUUGGGAAUUGCAUUCGAUACUGGUUGGCUAGAGUAUGGGAGAGGAUGGUAGAAUUCCAGGUGUAGCGGUGAAAUGCGUAGAGAUCUGGAGGAAUACCGAUGGCGAAGGCAGCCAUCUGGCCUAAUACUGACACUGAGGUGCGAAAGCAUGGGGAGCAAACAGGAUUAGAUACCCGAGUAGUCC
rnacentral:rRNA from 1 species